rnacentral:lncRNA from 1 species
CCCUCGUAACAGAUUCCACGUGGCGAGCCACGGUGAUCGCCACGCGUCUACUCCACUAUCCUUUGCAAUCAAUUCCCCUGACCAUGGGCGGCCCACUACCAGACGGUUACAAACGUCGCCAUCAAUCCGUUGCCUCCUCCGCCUAUAAAAGGGGGACCCAGAUACGUUAUUCUUUAAGCUCAUUUUCUUAUCCCAAAACUCUGCUAAAUUCUCCAUUCGAGCACUCCAUUCUUGUUGAGGCAGAGAACUGACUUGAGCGUCGGAGAAUCUUGCCGGAGCAACCCCACCUCCGGUUUAGACUUCCCUUGCAGGUCCCGGCGGCGACCGCGGCUUCCCCGACUCCAGCUUCUCCGGCGCAAGCAGAUUUUUGUACCAACAAUAUUAAAUCAUAAAAUUUUUUUAUAUCAUAUCUAAAUUUUUAUAAUUUUAAAGUAAAAUAAUUUUGAUUAUGAAGAUUAGAUAUAACUAAUUUUCUAUACAACUUGUAUCACAUACAACAAAUCCUAGAAUUUCAAGAUCUAUGAUUUUGUAAGAAAAUAAGUUUUUUUUUUACUUUCUUUUUCAUGGGACCUCACAGUGGCACCCUU